AGGUUUCUUCUUUAGGAAAUUUCCUUAAGUCUCCCACUCUCCAACAACCUCUGCAAUUUAAACUCCAGUUCUCAAAUUUGAUGGCGUUAAUAAAGAGGUUCGUGGAGGACAAUAAGAGCUUGUGGCGGAUAUUAAAGAGGCAUUGGUGGAUUUUCUAAAUGAAGGUUAUGAGAGGGCAAAGGAGGCUUAGAUUAGGGUUGAUAAAUUGGAAGAGACGUUGGGGGAAAUUAACCAAAGAAUGAAGGUUUUAAGUGCCAUUAUGAGAACCAAGGGGUAAUUGAAAUAAUUUUUCUAUUUUUUUGUUAAUUUGUUUUCAAUUGUUGAUUUGAGGGAUUUUUGAAUAAUUUUAUACCAUUACUGUAGUUGAUUGUUAAUUUAAGUCUUGUUGCCAUAUUGUUAUUGCUUAAAAUUUGAUUUCCUCUACGAUUUCAAUCUGGUUAAAUUUGCAAUUCUUCUAAGUUGGUAUCUAUAAGCUUUGUAGGGUCAGCUGUCUUUAAACCAAGACACCUUCAUAUCAGGAAGCUACAUAAUUAAAAAUGUUGCCAAUUUCAUCAUUUUCGAUUGCAUCAACAGAGUCUUAUCUGGAUCUCUGCCUUUGCUUUGCUUGCCUACUUGUUUGUGCAUGGCCAAAGUCUGUCCACCUUUCUUGCUUUCUUUAUGCUUUUUUGUUUUGUUGUUAUGUUUGUUUUUUGGCUUGUUUUGUCUUUAGCACACUAAAAUUUCAAUGUAAUAACUCAAGCAUUCCAGAAAUGGCUAGGUGCAACUUUAUCAAACUCUGGAGAAUAUUUGAAUGUCAAGACAUUUCAUUUUCCAAUAAAUUUUGCUUUCAGAGCAUCCACUGCUGCCGCUCAGGUGAGCUUCAUUUGAAGCUGAAUGUCCAAUGAUAUAUGAUGCAACAUACUCUCUUGUCACAUAUGUUUGUUGAUGUAUGUAUUUUCAGACAUGUCACUUGUAGGUUUUAAUAAUGGACAAAAGUAACUUGGAGGUAGCAAUUGGCUCGUAUAAACGCUACAAGGUAAUACAUCUCUUAUCUUAGGCUUUCAAGUUACUAUUAAAGUUCCAUGUGGAAGAAAUAAGACCUUAAAUCCGACCAUUGCUUUAUUAAAAUAAUGGUAAAUGUAUUUGCAGAAAGAUGCAUUGGCUUUGAAGGAGCUUUUGGCAUCAAUGCUUAUAGAUUUUACAUCCCAUGGACUAGGAUUUUGCCAGGUAAAAUUUUCUUGAUCAAACUCCCAAUCAAGAGAGAGAGAAAAAUUAUUUAUUAUUAAAAUAUUUGAAAAUAUUUUUAUAUUAUUCAAUAUCUCCCAAUCAAGUUUUUUCUACUGUGUUGCAUAAACUUAAAGGCCUAACUCUUAGAUUACUAGCUAAUCAAAACUUCUUCUUCUUUUUCCACUUCCUUUGAUCUUCGGUCAUUGAGCCUUUGAGCAGCCAUCAUUGCUUAUAAAAUUUCUAGGUUCAGCGUCUUAAAAAAAUUCUCAAAAUUAAUCUAAUAAGUAAUGAUGAUUUUGGGAAAUUUUUAGGUUUGAAUUUAGCUCACACUUGGCCAAUGGAACCUUUUUUAAUUUAAAUAGGAUUGAUAAUUUGGGAAGUUGUAAGCCUAAGGACUUGGUUAAUUGGCUGGGAACAUAUGGCUCCCAUGUUGAUAGAUGUAGUUUUCACACGUCAAUGGGAUAAGAUUGAAGCAAAUUUGGAUCCACCAACAUUGGAUGUUGAGGAGCUGUAAGACCACUUUUUUAUCACGUGACAAGGAUUGUGAAACUAUAUCUAAAUAUUACCUCUUUUGUAGGUUCGGUUGUUACAUUCUUACAGUAUCAAAAUGCACUUUCAAAGGACUUACAGGUUAUUAUCUCAAGCUUAACAUUAUAUCAUUAGUUCAUACAUAGAACUUAAAGAGACUACCGUAAUGGCUCUUUGCAAAUGAAAUAAAAUAGACAUUUUGCAUGUGUCAGCAUUUUUGUCAUGAUUUUAAGGUCAGUAAUUGGUAACUUUUUGUACCGAAUGUUGCUUAUUCUUCUUGAUUUUAUGGUUAUACAUAACCCUAUGAGCAUUUGAUUAACUAAGUACAUACAUAGAAGUUGCUUAUGAAAGUUAGGAAAAUAGUUCUUGGCAUUAUUGGUAAUGGUAUUUGCAUAAAUUUUUCAUAGCUUGUAGAGUAUCGAACAUCUGUGCAAUUCCAAUAUGAUAAAAAUACAUGUCAGACUCAUAUUUUCUUUAAAUGUAUGAGUAGGAUUCUUUCAUUCUGCUAAAAGCAUGGGCAAGGCUCAUGCUUUUUACAAAAAGUAUGUUGAAUCUCAACCUUGCACAAACUAAUGCCUAAGCCAACCUUCAGUUAGCUUUUGCACUUGUGUUUUGGUUUUGGUUGAAGCAAUUUGUCCUUAGAAGUUUGAAGAAGUUUGAGAUUGUAGGAAGUCAUGCUUCUUCUUGUCUUGGCUAUGGAAGUCUUUUCUUAGCCUAGCAAUUGAGGGACAUAAACAGAAGUGGGGAUGAAAUGUUCCUGUUAAUAUUUACUUGGCUAGAACUUUGUCUGAUUAUGCAAGAAUUAUCAGAUCUUAAGCAUCUUGUUUUAAAUGCUCUUACAUGUUUUAUUUACAGCAAAUUAGUUGUCAUUUUUCAUAGUCAAUUAUUCAUGGAAUGAAAAAAAGAGAAAUGAUUAUAUGAAAAUGUACCCACCAAAUUUAUUUUACUUUUGUUGCUGUGAUUUUCAUCCUUCUUUUUCUUAAAUAAACAUUGUCCAUCAGAAUGAAGCAAUCUCAUAUUUUAACUUGCAGGGAAUCAAAUAUUCCUAACCACAUGCCAACAAACUAUUUUGGGAUUCUACUUAAAUACUUUGUGUAAGGAAAUUUGGAACAAAUGUGUAGACAUUAUUCAAACAAUUGUAAUUUUACUUAAUAAUUGUUUUGAUGAUCAAUAUUUGUUGUAAAUUUUGUAAAAUUUGCAUGGUUCAUUCUUUGUAGCUUG
rnacentral:lncRNA from 1 species